UCGAAUUCUAGAUGGAUGAUGUUCAAAUUUAACUUGCAUCUAGUAUUAGCAAGAGAAGGCUAGCUUGCAUAUAAUUCAUCACUCAUAAGCCCAUUGCUUAUCUUUUGCUAACUGGUUCUGGUUGGAGCAAUAGGCUGCUCUCCCAGUAGUGAAAUAUAAUGCCAACAAGGUUAGUAAUUUUUGCCCAUUGGUAUACUGAGCAAAUGACUCCACCGUCCUGGUGCUCAUGUCAAUGGCGACGACCAGCCAUAUCUUCUUCGAUCAUCACCUAUUUGAUGCCCAGCUGCGGUUGUGAGCAUGUCCAGAGGGAAGAGGAACCAAAAUUGCCUGAUACCCUCAGCGUGGAGGACAUGGAGUUCCAUCUGCCAGCAGCUGAUUUCAACAAAUGGAUGGCCAGCUGCAGGACUCCUCCUCCAUACCUGAAUCCAUCAUCUCAAUCCAUGAUGACGUGCACGUGGUUACAAGGAGUCUCCAGUCUCAAAUAUAUCGGAGGUGCACUCAGCUUAUGUAUAUGACGCCUCCAUAUAUUUCAAUUGAAUUAACAACAAUUAGCAACAGUGAUCAAUUGAGAGGUAAUCUAAAUGAUUAGUGGUCCUUUUUCAACUCCUUGAGAAGAAAUGGCCGCAGGAAGAGCAUUGCUUCUUUGAAACACUGGUAUGCUUAUUGCUUUCCAUAUUGCUCUUUAAUGCAUAACAAAUUCAUUGGACGGCUCAUCAUAGUUAACAAUGUUUUUGGAUAAAUAAUGCCAGCAGCUAGCAAUUAGUAUUACCUUGAGGAAAUUAAAGGUACUUGGAGAAACUCACUGGGGAGGAAGGGCCUGGGACACAUGGACCUUUCCUUGGUCAAGAACUCAUCCUCACCAUUGAUAUACUGAUAAAAUGACUCGACGGUCCUGGUGUUCAUGUCAAUGGUGACCAGCCACAUCUUCCUCAUCACGUAUGUGAAGUCGCUGAUAAGGAAAUGCACUAGAUGUGGCCUGUCGAUGUUCACUUGGGGGAACAUGGGAACCUCGCGCGGGAGGCGAUCAUCAGUCCAGAGCUCAUCAGAGGUGACUGUCCAGUCCUUGUUCCACACCAUGCCGCUGCUUAGAGACCUGGGUGCACUGGCGUUCUUCACGAGCUUGCCCUCGUACACGAAGAGAUCCGCAGCAGCCGGCGACUACUGCUUCCACCGAAUCCUCGCCGGAGAGGACCACCCACACCCCUCUCCCUCUGUCUCCACCCCAAUCUUUACUGCAAACCCUCACCCUUGUCUGUGUUCUAGGUUUUGACGGGAUUCUUGGGGAGAGCGGAGGAGGUCUACAUCAAUCGGAUCGUGGAGUAUCAGAUCUAUAAAGCUAUGGGAUAAUUUAGCUAGAAUAUUUUGGCUUUCAUUGGACAGUACGUUGCUGGGCAUUGCUAUGGAUCAUCACUUUUAUCAGCAUCCUUGCACUGGAACCGAUCGACUCCAACACUAUAUUAGGUGCUAUGUAGUCAAUCAAUUCAGAAGCAAGCAGGCCUUGAGCAUUGUUUUUUGAUCCACAGGAUGUUGAGCCUCUAGCCUAUCUUUGAUAGAGCUACAGUGGGCAAAUAUUUACCUCAUGUACCUUGGAGCUGUGAAUACAUAGCACCGGGCUCGGAUUCUUAUCAUUCGCUGCCAAGCUUUAGUUGCGCUCUACCUCUCUCUCAAAUUAUGAAGUUUUAUAUUGUAACUAAUAGUGACAUAUCUGAAUAUUAAGUGCUUCCAAUGUAACUCGGAUAAUUUUUCACUUGGAGACAAAAUUAUACGAAAAUAAAAUACUGUUUGAACCGACUAUAGCUGGCUCCGCACAACGCAACUGGCCGUUGCAGCGGAUUGGCUAGCUUGAAACAACGGUAGCCAGCAAGCGGCGAUAACCGGCUACCGGCAUUUC